rnacentral:rRNA from 1 species
UACGAAGGGGGCUAGCGUUGUUCGGAAUUACUGGGCGUAAAGCGCGCGCAGGCGGCUAUCCAAGUCAGUGGUGAAAGCCCGGAGCUCAACUCCGGAACUGCCAUUGAAACUGUUUAGCUUGAGGACGAGAGAGGUGAGUGGAAUUCCCAGUGUAGAGGUGAAAUUCGUAGAUAUUGGGAAGAACACCGGUGGCGAAGGCGGCUCACUGGCUCGUUUCUGACGCUCAGGCGCGAUAGCGUGGGGGAUCAAAACAGG